GCCAUAUCUCCAUUCCUUUUUCAAAAUUUUAAAUUUUGAGAUGUCUCACUAAGUUGCUUAGGACUUCACUAAGUUGCUUGAGGCUGGCUUUGUAUUUGUGGUCCUCCUGCCUCAGCCUCCUGAAUCACUGGGAGUACAGUGUGCCAUCAUACCCGGAAACAUGGAAUAUUGAGUAAGAGUCAAGGUUGCCUGAGACCAAAUGGGACCUACAUUAUACUGUAGAGCAGAUGGGCUCAUUUGUACUUUUUGUUAUUUUUAAAUUUUUCUGUUUUUAAAUUGGUGUAUUAUAGUUGUACACAGUGAUGGGGAUUUGUUGUUACAUAUUUGUACAUACACACAAUAUAAUAAUAUAAUUUGGCCAACAUAGUUUCCCAGCACUUUGGACUUGUUUUUAAUCUCAAAGACCUAUGUUAGGGGCCAACCAUCACUGACCAAAAAAACAAAACAACAACAACAAAAAACUACUAUGGUAUUAUGAACUAGCCUUCAUUUAUGUUAAAUUGCUUUUGUGAAGAAAUCUGCUUUCAGUAGGAUCAUCUAUCUCUACCUUUUGGCCCCUUACCUCUUCUGCAGUCAACCUUAGGUUAACUAAGCCUUUCCAGCAUUCUGAUAGGUGACUUGAUACAGGUGAAAUUAAGGUCAGACUAGUGUUUUGUUGAUUAUUUGCAAUAUAUUUGGUUUUUGGUGGUUGUGGUAGUCAUUAAGUAUGACAAACAUUGCUAUUUCUGUGUUUAUGUUAAAUUAUCUUUCCUUUUCGUGAAAGAGCAAGAAAAGUCAACCUUAAUAGCUUGUUUUGGAUGAAAGUAAGCCUUCAUUUUUUUAUGUCAGUUUUCUAACCACUUUAUGGAAUUCUGCUUUUUUUUUUUUUAACUGAUGAUUGAACCUAGAGUUGUUUACCAUUGAGUGACAUUUCCAGCCAGUUUUAUUCAUUUUUUAAAAAUAUUAAAAAAAAUAUUUUUUAGUUGUAGAUGGACACAGUUGCUUUAUUUAUUUAUUUUAUGUGGUACUGAGGAUCGAACCCAGUGCCUCACUCAUGCUAGGGAAGCUCUCUACCACAGAGCUGUAACCCCAGCCCUUAUUAUUCAUUUUGAGACAGGGUCUGAUUAAGUUGCUGAGGGUCUUGCAAAGUUGUCCAGUUUGGCCUCAAACUUGGAAUCCUGCCUCAGCAUCUGAGUUGCUGGAAUUAUAGGUGUGUACCACCAGGCCUAAGAGCCUGUAGGGGGCUCCAGAAGACAGGAUUUAGUCUUAGAGCAGUGACUGAAUCUUCACAGCAAGUUGCAAUGAGACAUUUCAUAUUAUAAUCCAGUAUAUAGCACACCCCAAACAAGUUUACCAUACAACAUUUAGGCUUACUACCCAAUAAACAGUUGGGGUUUUAUUCUUUUAGAUAAAAAUUCUUAUCUGUAUCCACUGUUGGACUUUCAAGGUUUUAGUUUGGAAAUGAGUUGCA
rnacentral:lncRNA from 1 species